UUAGUUACGUAAAAGUACCGAAAAUAUUAACAAUAAAAUAUACUUAAAGUACCCAAAGUGAAAGUACUCAUUUUGAAAAAUUGAGUAUAUAUUAUUGGAUUA